ACGGGAGGCAGCAGUGGGGAAUAUUGGACAAUGGGCGAAAGCCUGAUCCAGCGACGCCGCGUGAGUGAAGAAGUAUUUCGGUAUGUAAAGCUCUAUCAGCAGGGAAGAUAAUGACGGUACCUGACUAAGAAGCCCCGGCUAACUACGUGCCAGCAGCCGCGGUAAUACGUAGGGGGCAAGCGUUAUCCGGAUUUACUGGGUGUAAAGGGAGCGUAGACGGUAUGGCAAGUCUGAUGUGAAAACCCAGGGCUCAACCCUGGGACUGCAUUGGAAACUGUCAAACUAGAGUGCAGGAGAGGUAAGUGGAAUUCCUAGUGUAGCGGUGAAAUGCGUAGAUAUUAGGAAGAACACCGGUGGCGAAGGCGGCUUGCUGGACAGAGACUGACGCUGAGGCUCGAAAGCGUGGGGAGCAAACAGGAUUAGAUACCCUGGUA
rnacentral:rRNA from 2 species